CUCCUAGAGCUCCUCCCCUGCCGCCCCUCCCCGCUCUCCCCCGUCCGGCCCCCUGCCGCCCCUCCUCGCGACCCCCGGCCCGCGGCGCUGCAGCCUGGCCGCUUGCCUCGUGGCCCGCCCGGCCCGGCUCCGAGUCGGCGGCGGCUGUGCUCGUCUGACUCACAAGGCAGCCAGCGUGCUUCUCUUCCUUGCUCAUCAAGAUGUACCUCCACGUACAUUUCCAGACCCUGGUCGGAUCUUCUGGACAUAGUUAUGUGCUCUAGUUGUGGGUCCUACUAGUUCUUCUACAUGAGCUGCUGCCACAGGCUGGCUGUUGACAGACAGGUCGUGUGAUUCCACCACCAGGAAGUGAACCCGGGCCGCCGACGUGCCCUCCCUACUUUUACUGUGUUAACACUCAUCGAGAGGAGCACUUUAGUAUUCGGCGUUUCUCAGCCUGGUGUGGUCAUGAGAAAACGAAGAAAACUCAGAGAGUUGAGCGUCCUGCGGAGAGGACAGCGUUGAGCAGCUGGGGAGCACGGAGCGCGGGCGGAGCGGCAGCUGGACUGGCCACGGAAAGGACUCAAAUUGAAGAUAUAUCUAGGGAGGUGCCUGUUGAUAACACUUCCGGUUUCAGACAACCCUGUGUGAUACCCUUUGGACCCUGAAUAUUGGGACUUCCUGUGCUGUGCUCAUAAGGCAUUAUGUAAGACACAUGAGGGCACAGAUCUUAGAAUGUGGCCGCGUGAAAGAGAACUGACUGCCGUGGAGGAGCGGAGGCAGCCGGUGCUCUCGGGCCAGUGCUCUCGGGCUGCUCAGCCUUCGGAGAAGGAGGCCAGGGACAUCACGCUGUGCCCAGGGAUGCACCAGAGUUGGCCAGGAGGCAGCAGGAGCAAGGGAGAAUGUGGGCACAAGCCUCAUCGUGUUCUGUGGGAAGGAGUGGGCGAGGCAGGGGUUGCAGACUUAGCAUCGGCUGGUUUGGAUAAUUUCGGUGGUCCGGCUCUAAGGGCCGUCUUAAUGGUCUGCCUGCCCCGGGAUGCUUCAGGGCAGAAUAGUGUCCCAGAGUGCAGGUGCCUGGUAGAAAGACGUGAGAGGGGUGUGGACUCAGGCUUCAUUGGUUUGCACAUCAAGGGCGUGAUCACAGACAAGUUGUUUGCUGCCUCUAGGAAUGAGCUCACUCUGAGAGGGCCAGUCCCUCCUCUGUCCACAAGCCGCUAAAUGUCAAAGCAUCAUAAAAUACAGAACAUAAAAAACAGGACCAGCAGGUGCCCGAAAGCCCUGGAGUGCUCCUGGAGUGCGGUCUGACGGUGAAGGGAAGGGUGGAGGCGUUGCCUGACAGUUCCAAGGUCAUGGCUUGAAAUCACCAAACACAAGUUGGGUGCUUGAUUUCUCUAGAGGUUUCGGAUGUUUGGCUUAGAGCUUUGUCUCCCCACCUGUCCCCGCUGGUGCUCGUGACUUCUGACCCUUGACCACCUGGACAUUCUUCAGGAACAUUUUACACCGCUGCACGGGAGGCAUGCUCUUGGAGCAGUGCUUGACAGAACGGAAGCCCGUGGCUGCGCCUGUUGAACUGCUUGCCAAGGCUUUGCUGGAAAGUGACAUAACGAAAGCCAUCAAAGCCUUCAGUUUCCGGUUGUGUGCUCUGGAGCCGCAGUGCCUGGGGCUGCAGCCCAUCGCCACCUCCCGCCAGCUCCGUGGCCUUAGGCAAG